GGAAAGGACAGGAAAAUAAACCAUACAUGCUAUCCAUGCACGAAACUCGGGCAGAGAUGGAACGCCAAAUCUAAACUUAUGUCCCAAGUCAGCAUCCACCUUAAAGCCUCAGUCUCUCAAUUUUAGUUCUAUGUGCAAAACACAGCAUUAAGUUUAAAAGUUAAAAAGGUACAGAAAAAGGUUCAGAGCAGGCAUCUUGACCUACUGACGGGAUGAGCCAAGAAUAUAACCUUGACUUGACACUGACUCGCCAUGAUAGCUUAGGCUUAAUACUAUAAAGCAUCCCUUCUGCAACCAAUAAAACGCUGGUGGAAAAACUAUUUAAGAGGC
rnacentral:lncRNA from 1 species